UUGGUUGAAGACGCCGAUUGAUCUUGAUAUUUCUUCCUUGGGACCAGAAGAGGAAGUUAGUUCAGAAUUUUUGGACUCUCUCUCUAAAUCCAUGUUCGUAAACAUAACAGAUGAUGAUGUUGAGGACUAAGGAGUACCAAGUCAGCAACCCUGGAAAGUUGAAGCUAUCAGUUGAUUUUGUGGAUGCAUGGA